GAUGAACGCUGGCGGCGUGCCUAAUACAUGCAAGUCGAGCGAAUGGAUUAAGAGCUUGCUCUUAUGAAGUUAGCGGCGGACGGGUGAGUAACACGUGGGUAACCUGCCCAUAAGACUGGGAUAACUCCGGGAAACCGGGGCUAAUACCGGAUAACAUUUUGAACCGCAUGGUUCGAAAUUGAAAGGCGGCUUCGGCUGUCACUUAUGGAUGGACCCGCGUCGCAUUAGCUAGUUGGUGAGGUAACGGCUCACCAAGGCAACGAUUCGUAGCCGACCUGAGAGGGUGAGCGGCCACACUGGGACUGAGACCCGGCCCAGACUCCUACGGGAGGCAGCAGUAGGGAAUCUUCCGCAAUGGACGAAGGUCUGACGGAGCAACGCCGCGUGAGUGAUGAAGGCUUUCGGGUCGUAAAACUCUGUUGUUAGGGAAGAACAAGUGCUAGUUGAAUAAGCUGGCACCUUGACGGUACCUAACCAGAAAGCCACGGCUAACUACGUGCCAGCAGCCGCGGUAA
rnacentral:rRNA from 1 species